CGCGGAAGGUUGUCUAACUGUUGGAAUAGUUAGUUUCUGCCUCAUAGAAGGUGCUUAGGCAAAUCCGGGCACAUGAUUCAAGGGACUGGGACGAAGGAUCAUCGAUCCUGUAGCAAUCGGAAGUGGUUCCAAGAAAAGCCUCUAAGCUUCAGUCAUACGAGACCGUACCGCAAACCGACACAGGUGGGCGAGAUGAGUAUUCUAAGGCGCUUGAGAGAACUCGGGAGAAGGAACUCGGCAAAUUGGUACCGUAACUUCGGGAAAAGGUACGCCCCGGUAGCUUGACCACUUUACUGUGGAAGGGCGAAAGGGUUGCAAUAAACUGGUGGCUGCGACUGUUUAAUAAAAACACAGCACUCUGCAAACACGAAAGUGGACGUAUAGGGUGUGACGCCUGCCCGGUGCUGGAAGAUUAAAUGAUGGGGUGCAAGCUCUUGAUUGAAGUCCCAGUAAACGGCGGCCGUAACUAUAACGGUCCUAAGGUAGCGAAAUUCCUUGUCGGGUAAGUUCCGACCUGCACGAAUGGCGUAACGAUGGCCACACUGUCUCCUCCCGAGACUCAGCGAAGUUGAAAUGUUUGUGAUGAUGCAAUCUACCCGCGGCUAGACGGAAAGACCCCAUGAACCUUUACUGUAGCUUUGCAUUGGACUUUGAACCAAUCUGUGUAGGAUAGGUGGGAGGCUUUGAAGCGGGGACGCCAGUUCUCGUGGAGCCAUCCUUGAAAUACCACCCUGGUUUGUUUGAGGUUCUAACCUUGGUCCGUUAUCCGGAUCGGGGACAGUGCAUGGUAGGCAGUUUGACUGGGGCGGUCUCCUCCUAAAGAGUAACGGAGGAGUACGAAGGUGCGCUCAGCGUGGUCGGAAAUCACGCGUAGAGUAUAAAGGCAAAAGCGCGCUUAACUGCGAGACCCACAAGUCGAGCAGGUACGAAAGUAGGUCUUAGUGAUCCGGUGGUUCUGUAUGGAAGGGCCAUCGCUCAACGGAUAAAAGGUACUCUGGGGAUAACAGGCUGAUUCCUCCCAAGAGUUCAUAUCGACGGGGGAGUUUGGCACCUCGAUGUCGGCUCAUCACAUCCUGGGGCUGUAGCCGGUCCCAAGGGUAUGGCUGUUCGCCAUUUAAAGUGGUACGUGAGCUGGGUUUAAAACGUCGUGAGACAGUUUGGUCCCUAUCUGCCGUGGGCGUUGGAAAUUUGAAGGGGGCUGCUCCUAGUACGAGAGGACCGGAGUGGACGAACCUCUGGUGUACC
rnacentral:rRNA from 1 species